GGAGUCGGCCAGGCGGUCGCUGCCGGCAACGGCGGAGGAAAGUCCGGGCAGCAUAGGGCAAGACGCCAGGUAACCCCUGGGGGGCGCGAGCCUACGGAAAGUGCCACAGAAAAUAUACCGCCCCUCACCUAGUCACUAGGUGAGGGGUAAGGGUGAAAUGGUGCGGUAAGAGCGCACCGCGCAACCGGCAACGGUUGUGGCAGGGUAAACCCCGUCCGCUGCAAGACCAAAUAGGGGAAUGAGCAGCUCGCUGCGACCUGCGGCCCGCAGGAUUCCCGGGUAGGUUGCUUGAGGCCUGUGGUGACGCAGGUCCCAGAUGAAUGACCGUCCACGACAGAACCCGGCUUAUCGGCCGACUCCACCC
rnacentral:RNase_P_RNA from 1 species